CGCUGUUCUAGAUUAUCGAAUUUAUUUCAUCUAAUUUUUUGCUUGUGUAUCAUGAACUUUGCAAAGUUAUAGUUUGUUCAUAGUGAAAAGUGAAUUUCAAAAGUGAAUUUCAAAAAUUUUUCAUUCCACGAUAUUCGAUCGAUAUGUGAUAAUAUUUAAUGUGAUAAACUAUGGAAGUUACGUAUCGAAGAAAUACAAUUUCAUAGAUUUGUACAUGACGAAGACCAAAGUUUAAAAAUCUAUUCUAAAUGGAAACAUUUACACAAAUAACGAAAAUAAAUAGAUUUUUAUCUAUCUUUCGUUAUCCUAAGAUAUACAACAUCUCAAUAUUUUUAUGUUGUCUACACGCGAAUGGAAUUGUUCCAUGAUACUGAAGUGUCAUCACAGCACAAAGAAGAAACAAUAAGAUAGAAAUUAAAUGUAAGUGUAAGACAGUGAUUCUUUAAAUAGUCAAUGAUUAAUCUCGAUAAUUUAUAAAUAAAUUAGAAUUUCUAUUUAGUACUUUUGAAACAAAGAUAAUAAAAAAAAAAUAAUAAAAAUAAUACAGAAUAUUCCAACAUAAUUUCAGAUCUUGAACCAUGCCCAAAAUUAUUGUUCGCUUAUCUUUAUCUAUUCUUGUUAUUAUUCGAAUAUACUUGUAUUCAUAUAAAAUAUUUUGAUAUUUUAUCAUCAUUUGGCAUAUUUAGAAACUAAUUACAUUAUAUUUUUAUAUAUUAAGAAAUCUAAUUUUAAGUGUUAUUUAAGAAUUGAAUUCAAUAAAAAAAAAAAUAUUAUAUAUGUAAAUGUAAAAUAUAAAAAUAUUGAAAAAAUAUGAAAGUAUAGAAUAAUAAUAAUAACAACAAUAGAUAACAUGAGGCAGACAAUUUCUAUGCAAUUUUAUCUGACAUUUUAUCAAAAUCAACUAUCUUUGGACAACCUAUAAUAAUUCAUUUUUCUCAUCUAUCUUAAAGAUAUUCAUCCUAGGAAAGUCUACAUUCGCAAUAUCAUCGAUCACAACAAAGACUAGUCGAUCAUUCUCUAAUUUUCUAUCUCUCAAUCUUCGACCAUGGGAUUCUUUAAAACUUUUUGUCUUCGAAGAUCAUUGGGAAUGAUGAUGGAAAAUAUUCAAGGAUUAUCUGAUUGAGAAGCGUGCUGAUGGCAUAGAACACGCCUACGUUGAUGCCAUAACUGAACAAUAGUAACAAGUAACCGAAGUUUGUGAGUAGUUUCUUCAUGGACAUGAAGAAACUUUUUGGCGUUUCGUUCUCUCUAUGAAUUUGAGCUUGUGCUUGGUUCGGAGGAAGCGGUGGUUUAGACUUAAAAACUAGAAGAAAAUAUUAUUUCAAUAUGGAGGACUGAAAAAUCGUAAUGAUCCCAUCAUGAGCUAUCCCGACAAGAGUUCCGCUCUCGAAAGCUUGUGCUCGAAGAGCGGCAAACUUGGCAGUCACGUCAUAAACAGCAAGGUCAACGAUCAUUUAUAUCAAUUUUGUGAUAUCUAUCGUAUAUUUCUUUAUUAACUAUACAUAGCAAAUGGCAUUGUAAUAAAAAUUUUAUUAAAACCUCACCAGACGUGAAGAACGAUUGAUGUACAUAUUCUAAGAAUAGAAUUCCUCUAAUCGAACAGAAAUACUUCUUCAAAUAAAAUAUUCAAGAUUCUCGAACUAUACAUCUUAAUAUGAUAGAAAAAAAAAAAAGGUUCUCGGACCAUGCAUAUAUAUUCUCGAGAUAGAAGAGAAAAAAUAGAAGAAAAAAUUACGUCAAAGUUGAUAAAAUAAUCUGAUCGGCGGUGCACCUUGAAUAGAUUAUCUUCCUACGAGAAGGGGUGAUCUGUUUGAAAUACAUAGGUUUAAUUCGCUGAAUAGGGUCCCAGAUCCCCCUCCUACCGCCGCGAAAUGAAACGUGGGUGCACGUUACGAUUCUGUUUCCCAUCUAAUCACUACUUAAUUCUCCAACGACCCUGUCUCUCGAAUUAGAGUUUUACUACACAGCAUAACGUCGUGUGGAUACGUUCACUUUGUUGGCAUUGGCUUCAUCCAGAAUCUCAUUGAAAAUUUGGCACGCGAUUCUAUUGCUAUUGUUUCGAGUAAAAUGAUGGAGUAAUUAAUGGAUCUUUGAGACAAUAAUUGAGACAAUGAUCUGGUAUUAUAACAAGGACUCUUUUGAAGUUAUAAUUUUUCUCAAAAAUGAAGCAAGAAAUCAAAGUAUUCUAUCAAUUGAUUCUAUAUUUUUUACAUAUUUUCAUAUAAAAAAUUAUCUUUACAUUCUAAACAUAAAUUAAUCUAUAUGUACAACUUAUAUAUAUGUACGUAUG